GGCGCGUAGAUGAUACUAGCUGUCUGCGAUAUACAGUAGGCGGCUCAGCGAAAGCGUUAAGUAUUCCUCCUGGGGAGUACGUUCGCAAGAAUGAAACUCAAAGGAAUUGACGGGGGCCCGCACAAGCGGAGGAACAUGUGGUUUAAUUCGAUGAUACGCGAGGAACCUUACCCGGGCUUGAAAUGCAUAUGACCGAAAUGGAAACACUUCUUCCCUUCAUGGCUUAUGUGUAGGUGCUGCAUGGUUGUCGUCAGCUCGUGCCGUGAGGUGUCGGCUUAAGUGCCAUAACGAGCGCAACCCUUGUCGGUAGUUGCUAUCAGGUAAUGCUGGGGACUCUACCGAGACUGCCAUCGUAAGAUGCGAGGAAGGUGGGGAUGACGUCAAAUCAGCACGGCCCUUACGUCCGGGGCGACACACGUGUUACAAUGGGUGGUACAACGGGCAGCUACCGGGCGACCUGAUGCCAAUCUCUCAAAUCCCCUCUCAUUUCGAAUCGAAGCCGGCAACCCAACUUCGGGAAGUUGGAUUCCCUAGAAAUCCCCAUUCACCCCCGGCGCGUGGAAUACUUUCCCGGGCCUGGACCCCCCCGCCCGCCAAGCCUUGAAAGCCGGGGGGACCUAAAUUCCUUGACCGUCAGAGGAGCCUCCUAUAAAAAAACCGGUGACUGGUGCUAAGUCAUAACAAGGCAAU
rnacentral:rRNA from 1 species